UCGUAACAAGGUUUCCGUAGGUGAACCUGCGGAAGGAUCAUUACAGUAUUCUUUUGCCAGCGCUUAACUGCGCGGCGAAAAACCUUACACACAGUGUCUUUUUGAUACAGAACUCUUGCUUUGGUUUGGCCUAGAGAUAGGUUGGGCCAGAGGUUUAACAAAACACAAUUUAAUUAUUUUUACAGUUAGUCAAAUUUUGAAUUAAUCUUCAAAACUUUCAACAACGGAUCUCUUGGUUCUCGCAUCGAUGAAGAACGCAGCGAAAUGCGAUAAGUAAUAUGAAUUGCAGAUUUUCGUGAAUCAUCGAAUCUUUGAACGCACAUUGCGCCCUCUGGUAUUCCAGAGGGCAUGCCUGUUUGAGCGUCAUUUCUCUCUCAAACCCCCGGGUUUGGUAUUGAGUGAUACUCUUAGUCGGACUAGGCGUUUGCUUGAAAAGUAUUGGCAUGGGUAGUACUAGAUAGUGCUGUCGACCUCUCAAUGUAUUAGGUUUAUCCAACUCGUUGAAUGGUGUGGCGGGAUAUUUCUGGUAUUGUUGGCCCGGCCUUACAACAACCAAACAAGUUUGACCUCAAAUCAGGUAGGAAUACCCGCUGAACCUAAGCAUAUCA
rnacentral:misc_RNA from 1 species